AUUGAACGCUGGCGGCAGGCUUAACACAUGCAAGUCGAGCGAGCGGCGGACGGGUGAGUAAUGUCUGGGAAACUGCCCGAUGGAGGGGGAUAACUACUGGAAACGGUAGCUAAUACCGCAUACUAUCAGAUGAGCCCAAAUGGGAUUAGCUAGUAGGUGGGGUAAAGGCUCACCUAGGCGACGAUCCCUAGCUGGUCUGAGAGGAUGACCAGCCACACGGGGACUGAGACACGGCCCAGACUCCUACGGGAGGCAGCAGUGGGGAAUAGUGCACAAUGGGCGCAAGCCUGAUGCAGCCAUGCCGCGUGUAUGAAGAAGGCCUUAGGGUUGUAAAGCACUUUCAGCGAGGAGGCGUUACUCGCAGAAGAAGCACCGGCUAACUCCGUGCCAGCAGCCGCGGUAAUAC
rnacentral:rRNA from 1 species